rnacentral:rRNA from 1 species
AUUGAACGCUGGCGGAAUGCUUUACACAUGCAAGUCGAACGGCAGCACGGACUUCGGUCUGGUGGCGAGUGGCGAACGGGUGAGUAACAUAUCGGAACGUAUCCAAUAAUGGGGGAUAACUAAUCGAAAGGUUGGCUAAUACCGCAUACGCCCUACGGGGGAAAGCUAGGGACCUUCGGGCCUGGCGUUAAUGGAGCGGCCGAUAUCUGAUUAGCUAGUUGGUGGGGUAAAGGCCCACCAAGGCGACGAUGAGUAGCUGGUCUGAGAGGACGACCAGCCACACUGGAACUGAGACACGGUCCAGACUCCUACGGGAGGCAGCAGUGGGGAAUUUUGGACAAUGGGCGCAAGCCUGAUCCAGCCAUUCCGCGUGAGUGAAGAAGGCCUUCGGGUUGUAAAGCUCUUUCGCAAGGGAAGAAAACUUAGCCACUAACAUUGGCUGAGGUUGACGGUACCUUGAUAAGAAGCACCGGCUAACUACGUGCCAGCCGCCGCCGUAA